rnacentral:rRNA from 1 species
AACCUGGUUGAUCCUGCCAGGUAGUCAUAUGCUUGUCUCAAAGACUAAGGCAUGCAUGUCUAAGUAUAAGUAUUAUACAGCGAAACUGCGAAUGGCUCAUUAAAACAGUAAUAGUUUAUUUGACAAUCUCACUUAUAUGGAUACCCGUAGUAAUUCUAGAGCUAAUACAUGCUGGACUCCCGACUUUUUGGAAGGGAGGUAUUUAUUAGAUAAUAACCAAUAUUCCGUAGGUCUAUCGUGGUGAAUCAUAAUAACUGAUCGAAUCGCACAGCCUUUGGCUGCGAUAAGUCAUUCAAGUUUCUGCCCCAUCAGCUUUAGAUGGUAGUGUACUGGACUACCAUGGCGUUCACGGGUAACGGAGGAUUAGGGUUCGAUUCCGGAGAGGGAGCCUGAGAAACGGCUACCACAUCUAAGGAAGGCAGCAGGCGCGUAAAUUACCCAAUCCUGACUCAGGGAGGUAGUGACAAGAAAUAACAGGCAGCGACUUUGUCGCUGAAUUGAAAUGAGCCGAAUUUACACCACUUAGUGAGGAUCGAUUGGAGGGCAAGUCUGGUGCCAGCAGCCGCGGUAAUUCCAGCUCCAAUAGC